CUAUUAUUCACACCAUAAACAUCUGCAUUGUAAACGUCAGAUGUACUGAUUGUCAUGGUUUGGGUAUUAAGUGAAUGUGCUCAACGUUGCUCUUUUGAAUUAAAAUAUACGUCUCGUUUUCCAGUAAUAUCUCAAAUUGCAUCUGGCUUUAUUUUCUGAGCAGGCACCGGGGCUUUCUCACCUAUCUCCUCUGCUGUUUUUCGGGUUGUUUUCUUUUUUGUUUUGUUUUUAUGCUCUGGAAAAGCCUUCUUGCAAUCCUUUCCUGCCGCAGCUUUUGGCUGCAGGGACACAGAGGAGGAAGGUGAGCUGAGCCCCAGCCCUGUGCUGCAGGCAGAGCCGAACAGAGCGGAAAGGGGAGAGACAGAGCAGAGGAGCAGAGAAAGUGGGAAUGCACAGCUUUCUGGGAUCUGCUUAAAGGUCAGCAAUAAUAUUCUUACAUUCCCAGCUAUGUGUUACAAUAAGGUAACACUCCAGUGGCAUGGGUCAAAGGAAAACCAUAGCAGUGGAUUUGGCAUUAGACAAGGACUCCUUUCUGCUGCCAGGAAGGUAAGAGCAGGUGUCCCAGUGCUACUGGCCAAUCCUGACCUACACGUCCUGGGGCACAGCAGGGUGAAGAGGAUGCAAAGACCAAGAACGGCAGCACUAAAUCAGCAGUAACUUGACUGAAAAAAUGACUUCUGGUUAUUCAAGAAGAAAAUCACUCCAGUUUGCAAUCCAAGUCCAGGGAAGAGCACACAGACCAGAGUUUGUGCUCCAGGAAAAGAGGUUGGACAACGGCUUUCCAUCAUUAAGCUUUUCCCCCAAGUUCCUUUGAUACCUUUCAUGCAGAGCAGCCAGGAGAUGCAGCAGCUCCCUCACCCUGACACCUCUGCAUAAUUCUCGCCUCCAAAAUUUCCUCCAACAGAAAAUCCAAGUGCUCAGCCCUCCCAGCCCAGCACAUAUGCUGCUGUAACUGUUUCCAGCCUGUUUCUGCAACAGGAGGGACAAGAACAUGAAAUCUGACCACCAAGUGCCUCAGAAGGGUUUGGACUGGUCCAGGCUUCAAACUGCUUACUGUAGGAACAAGGAGGACAACAACCAUAGAUCUACAUUUGUUGUCCACAGGAGAGAAAAUGUUGCACCACUUGCUCCAAGGCACAGCUCGUGCAUGCAAUGAAAAAGCUAUGCUCCCUUCAGCAAGAAACCUCCUAGGAAAGCACAAAGCCCUACCAGCUCAUGUUUCAGGAGGCCAGACGAACAAAAGGCUUAGCAGAGGUAAUUACCUGGAGCUUUGGCAGAGUGGGGCCGUGCUUGCUUGCACACAGGCACUGUGCAGCCCUGCCUGCUCUCAGCGCCCAGCUCAGCGUGGCUUUGAAAUUGCAAUGUGCUUCAGCUGGACUGGCUUUGGGGGAAGGAAGGCUCAGUCAACACCGCAGCGCACGUGGCUGGGAAAGCUUUUUCUAUGGUGGUUGGUUUGGUCCUAAUUUGUCAGUAAAGCAAAGUAGGUCAGGUAGGGGGAAGAGUAACUCCCCGCUCUGGGCAGCUGGAAAAUGUCAGGUUGGAAAAAGUAUAAUGCAGGAAGUUCCUAGAAUUUGGGGGCUGGAAUUAGGUGAUCUCUGAGGUCCCUUCCAACCUAAGCCAUUCUAUGACUUAUCCGGAAACCCUGAAAGCAAAAUGUUGGGAUGCCAUGCUGGGUGUCCCAUGAAGAGGAGCCAGGAGCAGAUGACCUCGGUGCUGCAAAAAUGAAGUCAUGACAUGGUGGCUGACCCCUGACAGCCUGCUGCCUACCUGUCCCCAACAUACCAUUAAUAAUUUGAGCACCAAAACUCAGCCACAUAAUUAGCAGAAGAAACUGAGGGCUCCUGCUGCAAGGCUCGGAUUAAAUUAGCCAUUUAUGGAUUUCUGAAAGAAAGGAGACUAAAAUGUUUUAUAGUGUAGUUAAAAGAUCCAUUGAAUGAUUCCCUCAUGUUGAACAUUUCCUAAUGUCAGAAGGAGGGUGGAUGACAUAGAAAUCAUAAAUCCAAUCGAGAAGUGUUAAAAAUCACUUUACUCUGCCAACUUACUAGAAAUUCAAUAAAACGGUAUGGGAGA
ensembl:lncRNA